rnacentral:rRNA from 1 species
GAUGAACGCUGGCGGCGUGCCUAAUACAUGCAAGUCGAGCGAACAGACGAGGAGCUUGCUCCUCUGACGUUAGCGGCGGACGGGUGAGUAACACGUGGAUAACCUACCUAUAAGACUGGGAUAACUUCGGGAAACCGGAGCUAAUACCGGAUAAUAUAUUGAACCGCAUGGUUCAAUAGUGAAAGACGGUUUUGCUGUCACUUAUAGAUGGAUCCGCGCCGCAUUAGCUAGUUGGUAAGGUAACGGCUUACCAAGGCAGCGAUGCGUAGCCGACCUGAGAGGGUGAUCGGCCACACUGGAACUGAGACACGGUCCAGACUCCUACGGGAGGCAGCAGUAGGGAAUCUUCCGCAAUGGGCGAAAGCCUGACGGAGCAACGCCGCGUGAGUGAUGAAGGUCUUCGGAUCGUAAAACUCUGUUAUUAGGGAAGAACAAAUGUGUAAGUAACUAUGCACGUCUUGACGGUACCUAAUCAGAAAGCCACGGCUAACUACG